AUGCGGACAGGGAGGGGCACAGGAGCAUGCAGAUUUCUGCCUGUGUCUGUUGGCUCCCAGCAGGAGUGCUCCGGGCUGGGCCUGGGAGGCAGAGGGCCUGGCUGGGCCCUCGGGGAGCCUUCCUGUCCCUGGGACACUCACACUGUUGGAUCGCAGGGACAGGCGGCCUUCGCAGCGGGCGCAGAACUUGGUGUGACAGUAGGAACACUGGUGGCCGCACCCAUCGGCAAACUUUGUCCUGCGACAAAUUCCACAAGUUGGAGCCUCAUCUUUGUGCUCUCCCUGGCAGCGGGCUUCGCCAUGUCCCUGACAACACACUUGAGCAUGGCUUCUUCCUUCUCCUCCUCCUCCUUCCGCCGGUCCAUCACUGCCAGGAUGAUGUUCCUCUCCUCCUCGGUCAGGUGGCUCAGGUCUAUGGAGACCCCACACGUGGGGGCAUAUGGUCUCAGGGUCCUCCUGGACUUUGCGUUUGGGGCCCAGAAAGACAGUGGCUUCAGAUCAUGGGAUGGUAAAUGGUUCCUGGAUUUUCCUGGCUCAGUGCAUGGGUCACCUCUGGCGGGGAUUGGCUCCUCUCUCUCUUUCUUGGCUGACAAGAGUGGCUCAAAAAUAAGAAUUGGCCUUGAAUUUCUGAGAAGAUGUGCACAAGGAUGCUUCAACAAUGCUGGAAAUGUUAAGACUUUUGCAACUCUUAGAGAUGAACUAAAUCCAUUUUGUGUAAUGUGAUAACCUUGAGUCUUUUGGGGGCCACGAGCCCAGGGAAAGAAUGUUAUUCAAAAUGUCAUUCAAAAUUCUUAUGAUCAAAGAUGAGUCUUGGUCAGAGGGGUAGGUCACUAGGACUGUGACUUGUAAGGAUAUAUUGUCAUCCCUAGCUUCUUGUUUCUUUCUCUGCUUCCUGCCCAAUAAGACAUAAGCAGCUUUCUUUUAUGAGGCCCUUCCUCCAUACAAUUUUUGCCUUGAACCUGGGCCACCAUGGACUGGAUCCACUGAAACUGUGAGCCAAGUUAACCUCUCAUGCUUUAAGUUGUGCGUGUCAGAUAUUUUUCCCAGAGAUAGAAAGUCUAACACAAUAGAUCUUAUUUCAGAAACUGUAUAUAAAUUUAUUGUUUGUAUUUUAAAUUAAAAAUAAAUUCAUCAAGAUAACAGUAGUGGGCCCUACCAAGGUCCUGAGUCACGCAGAAGACAAUGAAUCACCCCACUGCAGACAGGUAGCCACCUGGUUCCACACUACAAAGAAGCAGAGGACACCAGACCACCAGAACAAGGUACUGAGUCCAACUGUUCCCGGCCCAGAGGUAGGGGCUUCUGAGCUGUCGUCCCACUGCUCCUGGUCCAGAGGA
rnacentral:lncRNA from 1 species